rnacentral:rRNA from 1 species
AGUGAACGCUGGCGGUAGGCCUAACACAUGCAAGUCGAACGGCAGCACAGUAAGAGCUUGCUCUUACGGGUGGCGAGUGGCGGACGGGUGAGGAAUACAUCGGAAUCUACUUUUUCGUGGGGGAUGACGUAGGGAAACUUACGCUAAUACCGCAUACGACCUACGGGUGAAAGCAGGGGAUCUUCGGACCUUGCGCGAUUGAAUGAGCCGAUGUCGGAUUAGCUAGUUGGCGGGGUAAAGGCCCACCAAGGCGACGAUCCGUAGCUGGUCUGAGAGGAUGAUCAGCCACACUGGAGCUGAGACACGGUCCAGACUCGUACGGGAGGCAGCAGUGGGGAAUAUUGGACAAUGGGCGCAAGCCUGAUCCAGCCAUACCGCGUGGGUGAAGAAGGCCUUCGGGUUGUAAAGCCCUUUUGUUGGGAAAGAAAAGCAGCAGGUUAAUACCCCGCUGUUCUGACGGUACCCAAAGAAUAAGCACCGGCUAACUUCGUG